rnacentral:rRNA from 1 species
GACAGAGGGUGCAAACGUUGUUCGGAAUUACUGGGCGUGAAGCGCGUGUAGGCGGCCCGGAAAGUCGGAUGUGAAAGCCCUGGGCUUAACCCAGGAAGUGCAUUCGAAACUCCCGGGCUUGAGUUCUGGAGAGGAAGGCGGAAUUCUCGGUGUAGAGGUGAAAUUCGUAGAUAUCGAGAGGAACACCGGUGGCGAAGGCGGCCCUCUGGACAGUGACUGACGCUGAGACGCGAAAGCGUGGGGAGCAAACAGG